UAAUGAUUAUGCAACUAAAUAUGAUGUAAAAAUUAUAUUAACACAUAUUGAAUUUCCAUUAACUUUAUAUUAUAUAUAUUUGUUUAAUAAAUUUGCUGAAUAUUCGAAAUUUAUGUAUACACAAUUAGGAAUACAAAACAUGUGUUCGAUUUCUAAUAAUGCUUAUACGACUACUGCUUUCCUCCCAACUGCUUUUACUUCUGGAAUAACUGUCGGCACAGCUAAUGUCACUUCCCUCUCUCCUGGUGCUACUUCUACUCCUGUUAAUAUGCAAAACGAAAAUAAAAACAAUAGCAACCUAACCAACCUAACCAACCUAACCAACCUAACCAACCUAACCAACAUAACCAACCUAACCAACAUAACCAACAUAACCAAACACACAAACGAAGAAAUAAGCAUUUGUCUUUACACACAAAAUGAGAUACUAAAAAACAUGUAUAUUUUUUUAAAAAUUUUUUAUAAUCUACUUCUAAUUGAUUUACCAGAAUAUUUUGAAGAUAACUUUGACAUUUUUUUUGUUACAUUUUUUAAUUUAUUGUUGUAUAAUAAUAAAUAUUUAUAUGAUCAAUAUUUUAAUCUUAUACUUUUGGAAAAAGAUGCACAAAAUAGUGGGGUGGUAGCUAAUAACACCAACAAUAAUAAUAGCAGGUUGGAAGGUGGAACAUUACAUCAACAACAAGCAUUAUCACCUUUAUCAAUGAUAGGAAGUGGUGUUAGUAAUAAUCAACUAAAUGGUAACAAUAACGCGGAUGAAAAAACAAAACAAAUGUUAUGUACUAAUACAGGUUUAUCAUGCCUUCAAAAAGAAUACGAACAUAAUAUAAUAAAAUGUAAAAUAAUUAUUAUUAAUAUAAUAAAAAUGAUAGCAGAAAAAUUCCAAGAAGAGUCUAAAUUUUAUAUAAUUAAAUUAAUAUUUGCAUUAACACAUAUUUUAUAUACAGAAAAUGAUAAAACUUUAUUAUGUCAUAAUUAUAAUUGUUUAGCUGCUACUAUUAAAUUAAUUCAUCACAUGAAUUUAACAUCC
rnacentral:lncRNA from 1 species